CUUCUAGUGAUGAUACCUUUGUCCAGUUCUGCUGCUGAAUGAUAAGCGAUGACAUUUUAUUGAUCUGAAGAAG